UACGUAGGCAGCGAGCGUUGUUCGGAAUUACUGGGCGUAAAGAGUGUGUAGGCGGUGCUCUAAGUUCGGUGUGAAAUCUCCUGGCUCAACUGGGAGGGUGCGCCGGAAACUGGAGUGCUUGAGCGUGGGAGAGGAAAGUGGAAUUCCUGGUGUAGCGGUGAAAUGCGUAGAUAUCAGGAGGAACACCUGUGGUGUAGACGGCUUUCUGGACCAUAGCUGACGCUGAGACACGAAAGCGUGGGUAGCAAACAGG
rnacentral:rRNA from 1 species